AGCCUUUUUACUCAUAAACAAGUCUUUUCCAUUAACUCUUCCUUUCAUCCCUAUUUUGUUUCUCACUUUCAUAAGUUUAGUUUUCAUAACUUUGGCAGAUAACUGAUAAGAAAAUGAUGACCUCGAGUGCUGUAUGUAUUCUUUAGUUUCUUGGAGCAUUCUUUGUUUGUGAAUGGAGGUAUUGCUUGCUUAGAGAAUGAGAGACAUGCUCUCCUUCAGUUGAAAGCCAGCCUUGUGUUAGAUGAAGACUCUUCCUUGCUGACUACAUGGGAUGGGGAGAAAUCUGUUGUAGCAAAAAAACUGGCCAUGUUGAAAUGUUUCAUCUAAGUCCUCCUCUGUUUGGUCAUUUUCCAGACAAGAUCAACUCAUCAUUGAUGGAGUUGAAACAUUUAAAGUAUUUGAACAUUAGUGGGAAUACGUUUUUUUUUCCAAUACUUUCUUUGAACUGUUUGGUUCUCUUACCAAUUUGAGAUUCUUGACCUCCAUGCUUCAUUUUCUGGGGGAAGAAUUCCAAAUGAUGUUGCUCAUCUUUCACACUUGCAAUAUCUUAAUCUUUCAUGGAAUAACCUGGACGACACAAUCCCUCGUCAACUUGGAAAUCUCUCUCAUUUGCAACACCUUGAUCUCAGUUGGAAUGCUUUUGUUGGAAACAUUUCUCAUCAAAUUGGAAAUCUCUCUCAUUUCCAGUACCCUGAUCUUUUAGGGAACCAUUUUGUUGGAACCAUUCCUUCUCAACUUGGAAGCCUAUCAAAUUUAAAAGAGCUUCAUCAUGUUGGAGGUCAGUGGCUUUCUAAGCUCACUCUUUUAACUCAUCUUGACUUGAGUAACACCUCCAGUCUCAAUUCUUCUCAUGUCUGGUUGCAAAUGAUUGCUAAGCUUUCUAAAUUACAAAAAUUGAAACUCUCUGCCUAUGCUCUUUCAGAUCUUUACCUUCAUUCUCUGUCCCCUUCACUCUUCAAAUUUUGCUACUUCUCUUGCAAUCCUUGAUCUUAUCUUUCAUUCAACAUCUUCUCAUCAUCCAAAAUACUUGAAUGGUGUUUAAUGCCACCUCUAACUUAAUUGACCUUGAUCUUGCCUAUAACAAACUCAAUGGAACCGUUUCACCUUGAUUCCAUCAAUUUGAUUGAAGACAUUGCAACAAGAGAAAACUCAAAGCUUCUACUGCUUCGCGUUGCAAAAAUAGUGAUGCAAUACCAAUGUUUGAUGUAAGAAAGAGCAGAGAGGUGUCUGCAGAAUUUUCAGGAUCAGUUGAACUUAUAGUUUGGAAGGAAAUCAACUAAGCAAAACUGAGCUUCCAAUUAACAAUUUUAGUUGCAUGUCAGCAGCUACCAACGAUUUUUCUGAACAAAAUAAGCUCGGACAAGGCGGUUUCGGUCCUGUCUAGAAGGGAAAGCUUCCGACAGGAGAAGAAAUACAUGUCAAGAGAAUUUCGAGACGGUCAGGCCAAGGUUUAGACGAGUUCAAAUAUGAAAUGGUGCCAUUGAGUUUGUUAAAGCUAAGAUCAAGGUCAAUUAAGUUAGAGGUGGCACUAAACACCCAUUCAAAUAUUUUGGAAGAUGAAAAGGCAUUUUGUGAAAGGUCAAGGAUUGCAAGAGAAGUAGAAAAGUUUAACCGUGAAUGGGACAGAGAAUGGAGGUAAAGAUCAGAAAGGUCACAAAAAGAUAGCUUCAAUUCUUGUAUUUUAGGUAGCUUAGCAAUCAUUUGCAGCCAGAGAUGAGAAGAAUUGAGAUUGGAUAUGCCACUCAAGUCAAGAUGGGUUAAAAGAGUGAGAUUAGAAAGCCACUGACCUCCAACAUGAUUAUUCUUGUCAUCAAAUUUGAGUCUGUAAUUGUAUCUAAGAUGAAGCUCUUGUAAAUUUGAUAGGCUUCCAAAUUGAGAACGCAUGGUUCCAACAAAAUGGUUCCCCGAAAGAUCAAGGUACUGCAAAUGAGAGAGAUUUCCAAGUUGAUGAGGAAUGUUUCCAACAAGAACAUUCAAACUGAGAUCAAGAUGUUGCCAAUGAGAGAGAUUUCCAAGUUGAUGUGGGAUUAUAUCCUAUAGGUUAUUCAUUGAAAGAUCAAGAUAUUGCAAGUGUGAAAGACGAGCAAGAUCAUUUGGAAUUCUUCCCCAUAAAAUGAAGCACUGAGGUCAAGGAAUCUCAAGUUGGUUAAAGAACCAAACACUUCAGGGAAAGUAUUGAAUAAAAACGCAUUCCCACUAAUGUUCAAAUACUUUAAAUGUUUCAAUUCCAUCAAUGAUGCGUUGAUCUCGCCUGGAAAAUGAACAAACUGAGGACGACUUAGAUGAAACAUUUCAAUAUGCCAGUUUGAUUGCUACAACGGAUUCCUUCCCAUGCACAGCAACCAUCACUCUUACUGUCCCAUGUAGUCAGCAAGGAAGAGUCGUCAUCUAACGCAUGGCUGGCUUUCAACUGAAGGAGAGCAUGUCUUUCAUUCUCUAAGCAAGCAAUAGCUCCAUUCUCAAACAAAUGCAACACCACAACAAAGAUUGCUCCAAGAAACUAAAGAAUACAUACAGCACUCGAGGUCAUCAUUUUCUUAUCAGUUAUCUGCCAAAGUUAUAAACUAAAAUUAUGAGAGUGAGAAACAAAAUAGGGUUGAAAAGAAGAGUUAAUGGAAAAGACUUGAUUAUGUAUGAGUAAGACUUGUGCGAUGCUAGUUGAUCUCAUUUUGGUAUAUGAUGUCAAAGUUGUGUCACCGAUAUUAGUAAUGAAAAAACACACAUGAUGAUUGCUGAUGCAUUAUUAAUAUUUCAAAAUCAGUUUUUUAUUUUAAAAAAUUGC